rnacentral:rRNA from 1 species
UCGAAAGCCUGUCUCAGUUCGGAUUGGAGGCUGAAACCCGCCUCCAUGAAGUUGGAUUCGCUAGUAAUCGCGCAUCAGCCAUGGCGCGGUGAAUACGUUCCCGGGCCUUGUACACACCGCCCGUCAAGCCAUGGGAGCCGGGAGCGCUUGAAGUGCGUCGCCGCGAGGCGCGCCCUAGAGCGAGACCGGUGACUGGGGCUAAGUCGUAACAAGGUAUC